rnacentral:rRNA from 1 species
AUGAAGUCCGUCCUAGUCGACUACCUCUUCGGUGCUGGAAUCAAGCCCACCUCGAUUGCCAGCUAUAACCACCUAGGCAACAACGACGGCAUGAACCUCUCGGCGACGCAGGUAUUUUCCAAAGAGAUCUCCAAGAGCAGCAUGGUGGAUGACAUGGUCGUCAGCAACGGCAUCCUUUACAACCCCGGGGAGCAUCCCAACCACGUCAUUGUGAUAAAGUACAUGUCGUAUGUCGGGGAUAACAAGAGGGCCAUGGACGAGUACUCCCCCAAGAUCUUCAUGGCUGGCCGGAACACCACCGUGUUGCACAACACCGCCGCACCCAUCAUCCUUGACCUGGUGCUCCUAGCUGAGCUCAACACAAAGAUCCAGCUGAAAGCCCAAGGCCAGGAAAAGUUUCAUUCUUUUCACCCGAUGGCCACCAUCUUGAGCUACCUCAGUAAGGCCCAUCUUGGUCCCCCAAGGAUACCGGUGGUGAAUGCGCUGGCCAAGCAGAGAGCCAUGUUGGAGAAUAGGGCAUGUGUCGGGCUAGCUCCUGAGAACAACAUGAUGCUUGAGCAAAAGUGA